CGUAAAGGUUCAGAUAUUUGUAUGUCCUGUCGCUUUCCCCUGGGAUGAGCUCAGGUAGCAUAAAGCUUACUGUUGUCUACAAAUGAGAAUCGGACCGGUUUCCUUGAGUCGCACCUGAAGGGGCGUAGUAUUUCCCUGGGUGCAAGUCCUAGGGUGGCGUAGUCGUCUCUCCACUGUUUCUGUUGCGCGACGCCACAUCAAUAUAAGGUUACAGGUAAAUCAUAGGCCACAAUCACAUGGC